CCUACGGGGGACAGCAGUGAGGAAUAUUGGUCAAUGGACGAGAGUCUGAACCAGCCAAGUAGCGUGAAGGAUGACUGCCAUACGGGUUGUAAACUUCUUUUAUAAAGGAAUAAAACGAGGCACGUGUGCCUUUUUGCAUGUACUUUAUGAAUAAGGAUCGGCUAACUCCGUGCCAGCAGCCGCGGUAAUACGGAGGAUCCGAGCGUUAUCCGGAUUUAUUGGGUUUAAAGGGAGCGUAGAUGGGUUGUUAAGUCAGUUGUGAAAGUUUGCGGCUCAACCGUAAAAUUGCAGUUGAUACUGGCAGUCUUGAGUACAGUUGAGGUAGGCGGAAUUCGUGGUGUAGCGGUGAAAUGCUUAGAUAUCACGAAGAACCCCGAUUGCGAAGGCAGCUUACUAGACUGUGACUGACAUUGAUGCUCGAAAGUGUGGGUAUCGAACAGGAUUAGAUACCCCUGUAGUC
rnacentral:rRNA from 1 species